rnacentral:rRNA from 1 species
CCUACGGGGGGCAGCAGUGAGGAAUAUUGGUCAAUGGGCGCGAGCCUGAACCAGCCAAGUAGCGUGAAGGAUGACUGCCCUACGGGUUGUAAACUUCUUUUAUAAAGGAAUAAAGUGAGGCACGUGCUCCUUUUUGUAUGUACUUUAUGAAUAAGGAUCGGCUAACUCCGUGCCAUCAGCCGCGGUAAUACGGAGGAUCCGAGCGUUAUCCGGAUUUAUUGGGUUUAAAGGGAGCGUAGAUGGGUUGUUAAGUCAGUUGUGAAAGUUUGCGGCUCAACCGUAAAAUUGCAAUUGAUACUGGCAGUCUUGAGUACAGUUGAGGUAGGCGGAAUUCGUGGUGUAGCGGUGAAAUGCUUAGAUAUCACGAAGAACUCCGAUUGCGAAGGCAGCUUACUAAACUGCCACUGACAUUGAUGCUCGAAAGUGUGGGUAUCAAACAGGAUUAGAUACCCCAGUAGUC